UACGAGGUGGCCUCGGGUCAGAAGGUAAACCUCCAAAAGUCAUCCAUAUUCUUUGGGAAAGGAUGCAGAGAUGCGGAUAAAGUUAUGCUCAAGCAAGCUAUAGGUAUCACUUCUGAGGCUUUGAGUGAACGGUACCUUGGUUUACCAACACUGGUUGGUAGAUCGAAAGAGGGUACGUUCAAGUAUGUACGGGAAAGCUCGACAAGCAAGGUCUCUGGUUGGAAGGGACAAGAGUUGUCGAAGGCUGCAAGAGAGAUUCUUAUUAAGUCAGGGCUUCAGUCUACUCCUACUUACACCAUGAGCUGUUUUCAACUCACAAAGAAGAUGUGCCGGAACCUGAAAUCGAUCUCCUCGAAAUUCUGGUGGGGUGCCGCAAAUGGUGAAAGGAAAGUACACUGGAUUUCUUGGGAUAAGAUGUGCUCUUCGAAGAGAGGGAGGUAG
rnacentral:rRNA from 1 species